rnacentral:rRNA from 2 species
AGAGUUUGAUCCUGGCUCAGGACGAACGCUGGCGGCACGCCUAACACAUGCAAGUCGAACGGAGUGAAGAUGCUUGCAUCUGAACUUAGUGGCGGACGGGUGAGUAACACGUGAGCAACCUGCCUUUCAGAGGGGGAUAACGUUUGGAAACGAACGCUAAUACCGCAUAAAAUAUCGGAGUCGCAUGGCACUGAUAUCAAAGGAGCAAUCCGCUGAAAGAUGGGCUCGCGUCCGAUUAGGCAGUUGGCGGGGUAACGGCCCACCAAACCGACAAUCGGUAGCCGGACUGAGAGGUUGAACGGCCACAUUGGGACUGAGACACGGCCCAGACUCCUACGGGAGGCAGCAGUGGGGGAUAUUGCACAAUGGGGGAAACCCUGAUGCAGCGAUGCCGCGUGAAUGAAGACGGCCUUCGGGUUGUAAAGUUCUGUCGCAGGGGACGAAAAUGACGGUACCCUGCAAGAAAGCUCCGGCUAACUACGUGCCAGCAGCCGCGGUAAUACGUAGGGAGCAAGCGUUGUCCGGAAUUACUGGGUGUAAAGGGAGCGUAGGCGGGAGGAUAAAGUUGAAUGUGAAAUCUAUGGGCUCAACCCAUAGCUGCGUUCAAAACUGUUCUUCUUGAGUGAAGUAGAGGCAGGCGGAAUUCCUAGUGUAGCGGUGAAAUGCGUAGAUAUUAGGAGGAACACCAGUGGCGAAAGCGGCCUGCUGGGCUUUUACUGACGCUGAGGCUCGAAAGCGUGGGUAGCAAACAGAAUUAGAUUACCCUGUUAUUCACGGCGGUAAACGAUGAUUACUAGGUUUGGGUUGACCUGACCCCCAUUCGUGCCGGAAGUAACACCAUAAAGUAAUCCACCUGGGGGAGUACGGCCGCCAGGUUGAAACUUCAAAAGGAAUUGACGGGGGCCCGCACAAGCAGUGGAGGUAUGUGGUUUAAUUUCGACGCAAACGCGAAGAACCUUACCAGGGUCUUGACAUCGAGUGACGGACAUAGAGAUAUGUCUUUCCUUUCGGGACACGAAGACAGGUGGUGCAUGGUUGUCGUCAGCUCGUGUCGUGAGAUGUUGGGUUAAGUCCCGCAACGAGCGCAACCCUUACCAUUAGUUGCUACGCAAGAGCACUCUGAUGGGACUGCCGUUGACAAAACGGAGGAAGGUGGGGAUGACGUCAAAUCAUCAUGCCCCUUAUGACCUGGGCGACACACGUACUACAAUGGCGGUCAACAGAGGGAGGCAAAGCCGCGAGGCAGAGCAAACCCCUAAAAGCCGUCUCAGUUCGGAUUGCAGGCUGCAACUCGCCUGCAUGAAGUCGGAAUUGCUAGUAAUCGCGGAUCAGCAUGCCGCGGUGAAUACGUUCCCGGGCCUUGUACACACCGCCCGUCACACCAUGAGAGCCGGUAACACCCGAAGUCAAUAGUCUAACCGCAAGGAGGACAUUGCCGAAGGUGGGAUUGGUAAUUGGGGUGAAGUCGUAACAAGGUAGCCGU